rnacentral:rRNA from 1 species
CACGUAGGGUGCGAGCGUUGUCCGGAAUUAUUGGGCGUAAAGAGCUCGUAGGCGGUGUGUCGCGUCGGCCGUGAAAACCUGCAGCUUAACUGUGGGCUUGCGGUCGAUACGGGCAUCACUGGAGUUCGGCAGGGGAGACUGGAAUUCCUGGUGUAGCGGUGAAAUGCGCAGAUAUCAGGGAGGGAACACCGGUGGGCGAAGGCGGGUCUCUGG